GAAGAUCCCUCCUGAUUUGCAUACCUAUAGUAUAUUAGUUGAUGCAUACUGCAAAGAAGGGAGGACAAAAGAUGCAGAAGAUUUGAUUAAAACUAUGAUCCAGAAAGGUGUGCCUCCUGAUGUAAUCACCUACAGUGCGCUUAUGGAUGGAUUUUGUUUAAGAGGCAAAAUGGACAGGGCACUAGAGGUGCUGAAUACAAUGAGAAGUAAUGGGAUAGCGCCAGAUUGUUAUAGCUUUAACAUUCUGAUAAAUGGCUAUUGUAAGAGGCAGGAACUAGAAAAAGCCAUCAAUCUCCUCAGACAAAUGCAUGUUGAAGGUAUAAAAGCCAAUGUUCAAACCUACAGCACCAUCAUACAUGGUCUCUUUCAGAUGGGUAGACAUAAUGAUGUGCACAACCUUUGCCAUGAAAUGCUAAAGAAAGGUAUUAAACCAAAUAUUGUAACUUGUCGAAUUCUGUUGGAUGGCCUUUGCACGAAUCGACACAUGGAUGAAGCAAUUUCCUUCUUUCGAAUGAUGGAAUGUGAAGGUAUAGUUCAUGAUAUUCAAGUACAUAGUAUCCUCAUGGAUGGUCUCUGCAAGAACAGAAAACUUGACGAGGCCAGAAAUAUUUUUGAUAAGCUUGCUUCGAGAGGUUUGCAACCCGAUGUCAUAACACACAACAUAAUGAUCAGAGGACUUUGUCAAGAAGGGUUAUUUGACGAAGCAAAGAUGUUACUUUCUAAAAUGGAAUCUAGUGGUUGUUUGCCUGACGAUGUGACUUACAACACGAUCAUCCGUGGAAGCCUCUUGAAUAAAAGAUACGAAGAAGCAGUUGUACUGAUUGAGAACAUGAGAGCUCACAAUUUCUCAGCGGAUGCAUCUACCACAUCCAUGGUAGUAGACCUAUUACCUAAAGAAGAACAGGAAGAAGAGGAAGAACAGGAAGUAAUGGGAUAGCGCCAGAUUGUUAUAGCUUUAACAUUCUGAUAAAUGGCUAUUGUAAGAGGCAGGAACUAGAAAAAGCCAUCAAUCUCCUCAGACAAAUGCAUGUUGAAGGUAUAAAAGCCAAUGUUCAAACCUACAGCACCAUCAUACAUGGUCUCUUUCAGAUGGGUAGACAUAAUGAUGUGCACAACCUUUGCCAUGAAAUGCUAAAGAAAGGUAUUAAACCAAAUAUUGUAACUUGUCGAAUUCUGUUGGAUGGCCUUUGCACGAAUCGACACAUGGAUGAAGCAAUUUCCUUCUUUCGAAUGAUGGAAUGUGAAGGUAUAGUUCAUGAUAUUCAAGUACAUAGUAUCCUCAUGGAUGGUCUCUGCAAGAACAGAAAACUUGACGAGGCCAGAAAUAUUUUUGAUAAGCUUGCUUCGAGAGGUUUGCAACCCGAUGUCAUAACACACAACAUAAUGAUCAGAGGACUUUGUCAAGAAGGGUUAUUUGACGAAGCAAAGAUGUUACUUUCUAAAAUGGAAUCUAGUGGUUGUUUGCCUGACGAUGUGACUUACAACACGAUCAUCCGUGGAAGCCUCUUGAAUAAAAGAUACGAAGAAGCAGUUGUACUGAUUGAGAACAUGAGAGCUCACAAUUUCUCAGCGGAUGCAUCUACCACAUCCAUGGUAGCAGACCUAUUACCUAAAGAAGAACAGGAAGAAGAGGAAGAACAGGACCCCGCCGUUCUUGCUUUCUGCAAAUGGUUUUUGCAACAGGUACUGAAAUUUAUGGUUCAUUGUUAUGUAUUAUCAUCUCCUAACUUCUUAAGUUAUCUGCUAUAGUAAUAUGUUUUGCCGAGUAAAGAAUUAUAUCGAUUAGCAACUUAAGGGAUACCAUCAGUUUGUUUAGAGGUAAUAGACAAUGGAUUAGAGACUGUAAUACUAUCUCUUCUAUAUGUAUUAAGGACAGUCUAUGUUCAAGUUGUCAUUUGGAAUUGAAAGCUAGCAUUUAGACGCUUCCCAUAAUACGGAAAAACAAAUCAGCAUUUAAAAAUAAUAAAAGAAGCCUCUGUACUACCUCUAUAAUGCAUAUAUCAGAUAAUUUUAUUCGAGAAAUACCCUUCAGCACGCAUGUUAAGGCUUUCACAAACAAGCUCAUUUCUCUUUCUCCUGAUAUUAUCUGUUAUACCAUUCAGGCUUCUACUAAUGCUAUUUCAUAUUCUAUUAUUAAAAGGAUUGUGACUAAGUAAAAGCAAUGCCAAGCAGUAUUAUCUAUGGAGACGGUGCUGAGAAUCAAGUAAUAUUAUUGCUACAAACCAGUGAUAAUAGGAGGAUUGAGCACUAUUGAACAGGAAUGACAAUAUAACUCAGACCAAUAUUGAUGAUUUUGAUCUACCUUGAAAUAAAAAGGACCUCCGAUCGAGGUGUGGUUCAGCCUCCGUAUGAAUAACAACAAGCUAAAUGAAGUGUAUUUUAUUUGGAGUUCAAAAGAGAAUUUAUAUAGAGAUUUGAGCAUUCGAGAGGGUCAGGCUCUGCUAAUUAAAAUAACAAAAACUCUUUUUUUUUUUUUUUGACAAAAAAUAACAAAAACUCUUAAAUGAAUGGAUAAUUGCUACUUUUUCCUUACACUUCCUUUAUGUCUCCCUCCUUCCGCUUGCUAGCUUUUCCCUGCUAUGCAACUCCAUUAUGCUAAGUCUCCUGGAGAUGCACUAAUACAGAGAACAAAACAGAAAUUUGUAAAAAUUUACCUAAGGGGUCAACAUGGUUGGAGUUGAAACAUUAUCUCCAGUUUUCUAAAUUUGAAUUGGCACAUCACAUUUAGCUAAUUGGUUGUUUUAGUUAAAUUAGCUAUUUUUGACAUAUGAAGUUGGGGAAAAGAUUAUUCUAUCUCAAUUCUCAAGGAUAUUCCGUUUGAUACAAAAAAAAAGUGUUGGAUAUAUUAAAAUUUCGAUCCAGACAGUAAGGAUAAAAUCAAUUGCAUGCCAGAUUAGCAAAAAUCACUUGUGUACAUCUUCCAGCACUAUCAGAUUGACUGAUGAAAUGACUGUUUCGCAACUUUUGUGGUCUAGGGGAUUACACAAAAUAACAAGUUGGAACAGAAAAUGAAGUAUGAAUAUUGCUUGUCGAAUCACAAGGAGCUUACAGUUUAUGAGUUAUGACAUGUUGCUGAAAUUUUCAUGCGUUAAAGCAUUAAACUACUAGGAAAUGGAACAAGGUUAAUUGAACAGCUAUCAUAUGGCAGGUUUUAGUUUUAUAUAGUUGCAUUAUUAUUGGGAUUUCUAUAUAGUGGUACUUUUGAUUCUGCUCGCUACUAAAAAUGCCGUCAAUUGUUAUAGAACACUAGAAAGUGAGAGUCUGCGUCAAUUCUCAGAGAUUUGGGUUAUAGAGUGUUUGCAAGAAUAUAGUUCUCUGUGGUUUAUGCUUUUCUCAUGUUCUCCUUGUUUCAUCCAUGUGGCUUUGGCAGAGACAAAACAGUGAUAUUAGGCUAUUCGGUUUGGAAACAAAGCUCGCGUUUUGAAUAAUCUUGUAUUUCUCUGGUUCUAAUAAUUUAAUGUGGAAAAUAAAGUUUCGGUUUGUUAGGUGAAACUUUUAUUGGUUGCGCAAUAUUUUCUUCCUAAUCUGUGUAGUCCCUUAUAUGUUUGUGCUUCCUGUUUGAUAUUGUGCAGAAGGAUGAUCAUGCUGACAGCUCGAGCACAUUCUGGAUUUGAGAAGAUCAGUCAAAUAGAUAUGAAGGUCUCUACAUCAAAUGCUGGGUAACUAAAGUGCAUCCCCUAGGCCCUCAUUUAUAUAUGCUUCUUGUUUGAUAUUGAGGACUGCUGAUUAGAAGUGCCGAAAAGUGAUCAGAAAAGUAUGAAUUUAUUGUCGUUACUCCUUUGCCACUUGACAGUAUCUUUAUAAGCUAUAGGUCAUAGACCUAACUCUAUGUACUCACAGAUCUCAUCAAGUGGCCCCUUGAAUCCCACAUGAAGAACAUAUAGUGAAAAACAUGAGCUUUAACUGAAUCCAAUAUGCGAUGCCAUACUUAAUUUGUAUAGAGAUACAUGAGCUCCAUGUAACAUAUAUAUUAUGUUUGCAUGUUUAAAAUAUUUACUCUUUUACCUAAUUUGCAUAAAGAAACACUUAUAGAAAACACGUUACUCACGAUUUCUCAGCGGAUGCAUCCGCAACGUCCAUGGUACUAUACCUUUUUUCAACAGAAGAAGAAGAUUCAUCUAUUUUUGCUUUCCUUGAAUGGUUGUUGCAAUAGGUAGAAAAAUUGAUGGUUCACUGUUAUAAAUUUUCAUUUUCCCAACGUUCUUGAGGAUUUCGCAUACAUUGUUGAGUUACUUGCAUAUGUUAGUAGGCGGACAGUAAAACAUCUGAGAAAUUUCUAUGAUAAGGCAGUUAGUAUACGGAAAUUGUAUGAUGCAGGUGUGGAGCACAGGGCAACAGUGAAUUCGGAAAAGGAAAUAUUUUCUAUCCUAUAUUUCUUCCAUUCUACUCAACCAUGGUAGAGCCUGUCAAAGAACUAACAGAUGAUGAAAACCCUGCCAAGUGUACAAUGCGACUGGGGUAAGUUCUUAACAUCGCAAACAUUUAGUAAUUUCAAGAAACUAGAUCUCGAGAACAUCCAGACCCAUCAUUUUAAGGCAUUGACAUGGUAAUGGUCGCUACCUAGUGACUCGAUCUUGUAUGCUUUUGCUCUCAAGUCCUCUGGCAAAAUUUUAUAAGCACAGGGUAUAGCAACAAUAAAACUAAUGAAUUACAUUUCUUGACAUUAGAAGCCCAUGCAACAGCGAAAUAUUAGAAGCCCUUUCUUCUCCUAGACCACCCAAGCCUAAAAGGCUUUCUGCAUGCUUUGCAUUGCACCUGUAUUUUCACCUCAAUAUUCACGAUUCGAUUCUGGCUAAUGUUGACACAAAAUGACAAACUUCAUUAAUAUGAGCAAAAAACAAAGAAAUAACUCAAUCAACUUUGUGUCUUGCAAAAAUGUUAAGAUAGGCAUGCGCUUCCAGAAUUUCAAAAAGAUAAGGAUCGAAACUGAUUGUCAUCCCUAAUUUUUGAAAGUGAGACGGGUUGUAGUUUAGGUUAGCCUCUCUGAUUCCGUCACUUGCAGAAGAAUAGUCCGAAGAGACCGAAGAGUCCUGCUCCAAUACUAUUACAACAACAGCUUCCAUUUCCAUGCACAACCUCCAUCACUGACAUACCAUCAUCUCUACAAUUCUAUAUAUAAAUCAGUGACCAACUUCACUACAAGAAAAGAAGCUAUUUCCGAUAGACCCAAUCCGACCGACCCAUUUUACCUUCGGGCAACGUGAUGGUCGGAAAUCAAGAAUUCUUCGACACUCUGCAUCUCAAACUAUGCAUUAGCAUGCACAUAUAUACUGUAUGCACAAGGCUAAAACUGGCCUCUUGGCUUCUCACAAGACAACUUUUGUUCUAACAUGCCUUCUCCCUCAAUUAUUUCGAAAUAAUUAUACAGGAAUCCUCACCUUCCAUUGAGCCAUGAUAAUUUUAGUUGUGCAAUAUAGUAGAACCUUGAUAAAUUAAUAAGUUGAUCAAAUAAACUCGAUCUCAACAUAUUAAUCUAUUCAAUCUCAAUUAUCACAAGAAACUACAGUAGAAACUCUUUAAAUUAAUACUCGGUAAAUUAAUAAACUCUCUAAAAUAAUAAAAUUGUCCGGUCCCGACUUGGGCCAAUGUAAAAAAUUGAAAAACUCGAUAAAACAAUAAGAUAAUAAUUUUUCGGGAGAUUCCUUUAUAAUUUUCGGUCCCAAGAAAAUCAUAAAUUAAUAAUUCUUAGAAACUGAAAAAAAUAUAUUACACGCUAUUGAAAUAUGAUUCAAUAGUUGUCUAUUUUCCUUUGAAGUUCAUAUCUAUUUAGAGCUCAUCUCUAACUUUUCUUACUGCAUCAAAUAGCUUAGGUGUUGUAUUUUUGUAUUGUAUGAAAAUUCAUCUUGUGAGAUAUGGUUUGAAUAUUCUAACACAUUCAUGUAAUUUAUAUAUGCCAAACUUACUUAAGAAUAUUGUAUAUUGAACACAUUUAAUCCUUUUUGUUUAUAUUUACAGAUUUUCAAUACAUAUGAACACAGUAGUUACUAAUUUACUUUUAGUCAAAGAUUCGCUGCAAUAUAAUUCCAAGAGACAUAGACUAAUUUGGCUUUUUGUUUGGCAUGUGCAGUAUAAUCAGUUAAAAACUCUUUAAAUUAAUAAUUAUUAAUUUAUCGAUAAAUUAAUAACUCUCUAAAUUAAUAAAUUUCUCCGGUCCCGACAUUAUUAAUUUAUAGAGUUUUUACUGUAGUACUUAAAAUUUAUCAGUUUCAAAAUUAUAAAUUUAUCGAGUUUCAGCCGAAGUAUCUUAUCUAUUUGAAAAAAUCCACUCACUGGUAUAAAAUUUUGCUGUCUGAACCAUAAAUAUUUGAAAUUUGUGGGUAGAUUUCUCAUCGUGGACAAUAAUAUUUGAUCGAAGAUAAGAAAAGAGGCUAUCUGAACAUAUUUGUUUAUAACUCCUCAAUUAUUCUUCUCAUCAAUCAUCACGGUCUGCAUUUUGGAGUAGAGUUACAUUUUUGUCACUUGGCAUUGGAUGGUACGAGCAUUCAUCUAACAUUCUUUUGUUUAGAUAUGCAUUUGUAUUUGAAUUUCAAAUUACUAACAUUCUUGCAUAUGUUCUUGUCUUGAAGUUCAAAAUUCUUAAAAGUUCACAAAUGAAACCUCUUCUCGAUUAAGAAAUUAUAGUACCUCAACACAUGACUAAUGGAUGGAUUUUGUUUAACAAGAAAAAUGAAACUUCUUCUCGAUUAAGAAAUGGACAAGGCAUUAGGGCAAAUCCAACAUUGGUCUACAGGUCCAAAUUUAAGCCGGUUUCGGUCUAAAUUUUCCUAACAGUGGCCUAAAUCUUGGUCCAAAUUUAGGCCGGUGAACAGUACCUACCUAAAUUUAGGCCGGCACUAUUCACCGGCCUAAAUCUUUUAAUAAUAUAAUAAUAACUUUUUAUUUUUUGUAUAAUUAGUUAAUUAAAUGAUUUUAUGUUAAUAAAAUUAUUAAAUAUUUAUAAAUUAUAUUUAAUAUAUUUCACUUAAAUAAUCAUAUAUAUUAAUUAUGAAAUAUAAUAAAAUUAAAUACUCUUAAAAUAAUUCAAAUUAACAACUCAUUAAAAUGCUCGAUUUCAACAUUCUUGGACGAUAUUGAAAAAUAAAAAAUAAAAAAGCUCAUAUUGCACUUCGAUAUGCAUUAAUUGAGCAUUUGUGGGAACAAUGUAUUAAUUCAGAGUAGUAUUGAAUCUUUGUAAAUUUUAUUUUAGUUAAUUAAAUAAAAUGUUUAAUUUUCUUUUAUUUACUUUGUUUAAAUGUAGUGUUUUCUAAAUUAAUGAAUUUAUGGAGUUUAAUAUUAAUAUGAAAUCUUAUAUUAUUGUUAAAAGGAUUAGAAUAAUAAUAUAAAAAUUGUUAAGAUUAAAUUUAGACCAAGAUUUAGACCAAAAACCGGUUCCACAGUUGGAGAUGGCUUAGAGGUGCUGAAUACCAGGAGGAUAAUGGGAUAGACGGAUAGUGCCAGAUUUUUAUACUCAUUUGAACGUGUUUACUCGUGUUUCUUAAAAAUAUUGAUAUAUAUUACCUAUGAUGGCCUACAACCAGAAUUAUAUAAUUUAUUUUAUAUAAUUUAGGCUUAAUGACCUUUUAACCUUCGAAGUUUGAGGAAGUUCAGUCUCGAUGUUUAAAGUCGUUUGAUUUGACCCUCCAAAUUUUCCGAAUGUACUUUUUAGCCCUUAUGGCGUAUACCGAUAUAUAACUGGGUGGUCAAAGUUGACAUUUCACACGUGAGGGUUAAAAUGGGCAUUAAACAUCGAAGGUUAAACGGAAUAUCUAAUGUAUGUUAAUGUAUUCUUUAAGAUUUAAAAGGAACGAGAAGUAUACUUUAUGAGUUAAAAAAUACGCCUAAACUUUACCCUGAAUAUGAAUUGUCAAGUUUACCCUCCGAUUUAUACCAGUAUUUAAAAAAAGGGCUAAAAGUGACAACAUAGAAACUUGGAGGGUCGAAUCGAACGACUCUAAACAUCGAGGCCGCAUCGAAACUUCCGUCCAAACUUCGAGGGCUAAAAGGUUAUUGAGAUUUGAGACCAUAAUUUAUGUCGUAUAUUCUUCAUAGGUACUUAUUCUGAUUGUUAGAUCUUUUUCAAGAAUCUUUCUUGUAAUAUUCACUUGUCUGGAUACUCAAUGUUGCGUAGAAAUUCUUAAUGUGAUGAAGAAGAUUGAAUUAAUCUAAAUUUAUACAUGUCUUAUGAAGAAGAUUGAAGAUUUAGAUUAAUCUAAAUUAAUCUAAAUUCUUUUUGAAGAAAAUUUAUAUUAAAAUUUUCUAAUCAUGCAAGUUGUAUAAAUUUCAGACCUGGACUAAAAAUGGUUGAUCAUAUUCCGUUGCAGAAAAUAAUCAUAGUAAUUAACAUCAGUUGCAAGCUUGCUAAAAAUUUCAUGAUGCGGAUGUUUUUAAGAAAAUUUGAGAAGCAGAAAAUUUAGUUCCUAUGAACAUCAUUUAUAAAGAUUAUGAAGAUGUUUGCUAGGAUAUAAGAUGGAGCGAUAUCAUUUUCCAUGCAGACCCGUAAAUUAGAUUAAAAAAAAUCCUUGAAUCAAGAUUUUUGUGUGAAAGUAAUCCAAAGAAAUCUGGACUUUAAUACUAUAAAUUAGAUAUAAUUCAUUUUACAUAUAUUAUAAACUUGCACAAUCAAUAACUCACAGUUAAGUUAAUAACCUUGUGGAGUUAUUCGUAAAUCAACUUGUAGAUUGAAGAAAAGUAAAAAUCCGAAACUUGAUCGACUUGAUUCAUUUAAAACUCGAGCUCGAAGGGCAAAAAAAUUAUAAAAACUCAACUCGAAAUGUUUUUUUUUAUACUUCUAGAUAUCAAAGAUAAGCAACAUUGGAUGAUAAAAGUUGGUAAAGAUAACAAGCACGGUACAAACGCAAUGAUUUACCCACUCCAAGGUGCAAUUUAUGUUUAUGACAGUAGGAGUAACAGAUAAGCUUGGUUGUUAUUUAUGUUUGUCUCUUCUUAAAUUUGUCUGUUAUUGUGUGUGGCUGAUAUUUAGUCCAUCACUUGUAUUCUGAUGUGACAUUUAUCAGUUCUUGAUUCACAAAAUAUUUAAGCAAUGUCUGCCAUUUUCCUGAGAAGAGGAGCUCAAAGACUGGCAUGCACAUUCCCUCUGUUCUCUACUAAACCCAAAGCCCCCUUUGUACCUUCUCCAUCCACCACUCAUCCCGAGCUAAAACAAUUGCUCUAUCAGAAGUCUAAGGUUGGUUUCGAUAAACUCGACGAUGCUCUGCUUGUGUUCGAUCAAAUGCUCCUUCUGAAAUCUAAGCUUUCUGUUGUGCAUUUCACACAACUCUUAACCGCCCUCGUCCGAAUGGAAGAGUACUCUGUUGCCGUCUCCAUGUUUAGAGAAUUCCGUGUUUUAAGCAUUCCUGUUAAUAUUGUUACCUUUACUACUGCCAUCCAUUCCUGUUGUCACUUGAAUACGCUUGAUUAUGCCUUUUCGUUGCUUGCUGGAAUCAUCAAGAGUGGUCAUGUCCCCAAUGUUGUGACCUACACCACUCUCAUCAAGGGCCUUCUGUCUCAAGACAGGCCUUUGGAGGCUGAGCAUUUAUUUAAGAAGCUUAUCAGAUUUCGAGAAAUUCUGCCCAAUGUAGUUAUGUAUAACACCAUCAUUGAUGGUCUCUGCAAAACUUCAAAUACUUCCACGGCUCUCAAGUUGUUAAGAAAGAUGGAGAAGUUAGGUUGUAGACCCGAUGCAAUAACUUAUACCUCGAUUAUUGAUUCUUUGUGCAAAGAGAGACGAGUCGAUAAUGCAUUGGAUCUUGUGUCUGAAAUGACCAACAAAGGCAUAUCACCUAAUGUUAUAACCUAUAACAGCUUACUUCAAGGUCUUUGCAGCUCAGGCCGAUGGGAGGACACUGAGCGUUUGUUAACUGAGAUGGGUGUUAGGAAGAUCUCUUCAGAUUUGCACACCUAUAAUAUAUUAGUUGAUGCACACUGCAAAGAAGGGAGGACAAAAGAUGCUCAAGAUGUUAUUGAAAUUAUGAUCGAGAAAAGUGUACCUCCUGAUGUCAUCACCUACAACACACUAAUGGAUGGAUAUUGUUUAACAGGCAAAAUGGACAGGGCACUAGAGGUGCUGAAUACCAUAAGGAGUAAUGAGAUAUGGCCAAAUUGUUAUAGCUAUAACAUUCUGAUAAAUGGCUAUUGUAAGAGGCAGGAAGUAGACAACGCCAUCAAUCUCCUCAGACAAAUGCCUGUUGAAGGUAUAAAAGCUGAUGUUCAAACCUACAGCACCAUCAUACAUGGUUUGUUUCAGAUGGGUAGACAUAAUGAGGCGCGGAACCUUUUCCAUGAAAUGCUAAAACAAGGUAAUAAACCAGAUAUCGUAACAUGUCGAAUUCUGUUGGAUGGCCUUUGCAAGAACCGAUACAUGGAUGAAGCAAUUUCCUUCUUUCGAAUAAUGGAAUGUAAAGGUAUAGUUCAUGAUGUUCAAAUACAUAAUAUCCUCAUAGAUGGUCUCUGCAAGAACAGAAAACUUGAUGAGGCCAGAAAUAUAUUUGAUAAGCUUGCUUCGAGAGGUUUGCAACCCGAUGUGAAGACAUACACUACAAUGAUCAGAGGACUUUGUCAAGAAGGGUUGUUUGAGGAAGCAAAGAUAUUACUUUCUGAAAUGGAAACUAGCGGUUGUUUGCCUGAUGAUGUGACUUACAACACGAUCAUCCGUGGAAGCCUUUUGAAUAAAAGAUACGAAGAAGCAGUUGUACUGAUUGAGAACAUGCGAGCUCACAAUUUCAAAGCGGAUGCAUCUUCCACAUCCAUGGUAGUAGACCUAUUACCUAAAGAAGAACAGGAAGAACAGGCCCCCGCCGUUCUUGCUUUCUGCAAAUGGUUUUUUCAACAGGUAUAUCAUCUCCUAACUUCUUUAAGUUAUCUGCUAUACUAAUAUGUUUUGUUGAGUAAAGAAUUAUAUCGUUUAGCAACUUAAGGGGUACCAUCAGUUUGUUUAAAAGUAAUAGACAAUGGAUUAGAGACUCUAAUACUAUCUCUUCUAUAUGUAUGAAGGACAUUCUAUGUUCAAGUUGUCAUUCCGAAUUGAAAGCUAGCAUUUCGACUCUUCCCAUAAUACGGAGAAAAAAAUCAGCAUUUAAAAAUAAUAAAAAAAGCCUCUGCACUACCUCUAUAAUGCAUAUAUCAGAUAAGUUUAUUCCAGAUAUACCCUUCAGCACGCAUAUUCAGGCUUUCACAAACAAGCUCAUUUCUCUUUCUCCGGAUAUUAUCUGUUAUACCAUUCUUACUUCUAUUUAUUCUAUUACAUAUUCUAUUAUUAGCAGGAUUGUGACUAAGUAAAGGCAAUGCCAAGUAGUAUUAUCUAUGGAGACGGUGCUGAGAAUCAAGUAAUAUUACUGCUACAAACCAGUGAUAAUAGGAGGAUUCAGCACUAUUGAACAGGAAUGAAAAUAUAACUCAUACCAAUAUUGAUAAUUCCGAUCUACCUUGAUAUAAAAAUGACCUCCGAUCGAGGAGUGGUUCAGCCUCCGUAUGAAUAACAAGCUAAAUGAAGUGUAUUUUAUUUGGAGUUCAAAAGAGAAUAUAUAUAGAGAUUUGAGCGUUCGAGAGGGUCAGGCUCCACUAUUUAAAAUAACAAAAACUCUUAAAAUGAAUAUAUAAUCCCUACUUUUUCCUAAUACUUCCUUUAUGUCUCCCCUCUUCCGCUUGCUAGCUUUAACUCCAUUAUGCUAUGUUGGCUCCUGGAGAUGCACUAAUAUAGAGAACAAAAUAGAGAUUUGUAAAAAUCUACCUUUUGUGGUCUAGGGGAUUACACAAAAUAACAAGUUAGAACAGAAAAUGAAGUAUGAAUGUUGCUUGUUGAAUCACAAGGAGCUUACAGCUUAUGAGUUAUGACAUGUUGCUGAAAUUUUCAUGCGCUAAAGCAUUAAACUACUAGGAAAUGGAAUAAGGUUAAUUGAACAGCUAUCAUAUGGCAGGUUUUAGUUUUAUAUAAUUUCAUUAAUAUUGGGAAUUCUAUAUGUUGAUACUUUUGAUUCUGCUCGUACUAAAAAUGCCGUAAAACUAAAUUGUGGUGUAUAUGUUAUAGACCACUAGGAAGCAAGAAUCUGCAUCGAUUCUCCAGAGAUUUGUGUUAUAGAGUGUUCGCAAGAAUAUAGUUUUCUUUGGUUUAUGCUUUUCUCAUGUUCUCCUUGUUUCAUCCAUGUGGCUUUGGCAGAGACAAAACAGUGAUAUUAGGCUAUUCGGCUUGGAAAGAAAGCUGGCUUUUUGAAUAAUCUUGUAUUUCUCUUGUUCUAAUAAUUUAAUGUGGGAAAUUAAGUUUCGGCUUGUUAGGUGAAACUUUUAUUGGUUGCACAAUAUUUUCUUUGUAAGCUGUAUAGUCCCUUAUAUGUUUAUGCUUCCUCUUUGAUAUUGUGCAGAAAAAUGAUCACACUGACAGCUCGAGCACAUUUUUUGAUUUAAGAAGAUCAGUCAAAUAGAUCUGAAGGUCUCUACAUCAGAUGCUGGGUAACUAAAGUGCAUCCCCUAGGCCCUCAUUUAUUUAUGCUUCCUGUUUGAUAUUGAGGACUGUUGAAUAGAAGUGCAGAAAAGUGAUCAAAAUAGUAUGAAUUCAUUGUCUUUACUCCUUUGCCAGUAAUCUUUAUAAGUUAUAGGUCAUAGACCUAACUCUAUGUACUCACAGAUCUCAUCAAGUGGCCGCUUGAAUGGUAAUAAGCAUUUCGAAUGACUUUUGCACAAAUCUUACAGUUUGUUUCUUCCGAUAUUAUCUCUUAUGUGCCAAUUAAUUCAGCGUCGAAUUUAAAAGUGUCAUCAAACUUCACAGAUAUAUCGUCGCUGUACUGGUCAAUUUUACAAACUGUUGAGAUUCCAUCAGCACAGAUCUUGACAAUGAUAUUGGUUCCCCAGAUUGACAAGAGCAAACUCGAAUAUUUAGUCCCCUCUUCUGCGCUCUGUAUGAGCAGCAACAGAACCCCCAAGAUCCAUAUUAUACUUUAACAUUCAUAAUAUCUUAAAGAUAUAUAUAAGUAUAGUCACCUACAAUAUACUUAUGGAUUGAUUUUGUUUUAGAGGCAAAAUUGACAAGGCAUUACAGGUGCUGAAUAACAAUAUAUCAAAUGAGGCAAAUUUAUUUAGAUGGUAUUUGCAAGAACCAAUCAUCGAUGAAGCGAAUUUUUUUAGAUGGUACUGAACGAUUUCCUUCUUUCGUUCAGUACUUCCAGUGCUGCCCUUCAAACUAGAGUUUCUUUAUCCAUUUUCUCGUCAUUUUUCUAGUUUAUGAGUUUGAUUUUCGCUCACCACAAGAUAGAUAAUAAUUAGAAACAACUAUUACAACACCAUCCACAGCAAACCUGCAUAUCAUCUGAAACUACUCUACUGCAAACUUCACCAUUUCAUGCACAACUUUCAUCAUUCACAUACCAUCAUCUCUUCGAUUCUAACGUAUAUCAUUGCCCGGAGUUUAUCGCAAUUAGAAAACAGGCUAUUUCUUACAUAAGUAAUUUGACCAACCAGUUUUACCUUGAAGAAACAUGGUGUCACAAGUCUAAAACUAUGCAUCCGGGCUUUUGAUUUUUGUACAAACAUGUCCUUUUAUCUAAGGAUUCAAUAAUACUAGAAUCACUUGCCUGUACUUAGACUAUGUGCAUGUAAACAUGUAAAGAAUACACCGGAACUUGUUAAUAAUUUGAUAAAUUUAUAGCAUUUUGUUUGAAUUACAAGGAGUAAGCGGUGACUUCAGACUUCAGAUAAGUGAAACUAUUUUUGUGAUAUAGUAACAAAAAAUUGAUUGUGGGUGUUAAAAUAAUAUAAUAACUCCAAUAAUUUAUCCUAGUUUACUUUUUGCUUUCAUUUCUUUAUUGGUUUUCAUUUUUUUGGUGAUAUGAUAAUUAUAAAAUCUCUCCCUUUUACUCAUUUUUCUUUAAUUUGAAUUUAUCGUUAACAUAUCAUAUAAGUAUUUAGAUGGACACAUGUUAUCUAAAGAUUUAAAGAUAUACACUGUCAUUUUCUAAAUUAUAUUUUAUUCACUUAUACUCGUAUAUCUCAUUGAGUAAAAUUUUGUUGCAACAAUUUAAAGGUUUUCACCAAUUUGUUGACAAGAAAACAAAAACUAAUAAGAACUCUUUAAAUUAACUAUUCACUCCUUCCUAUUUUAAUAGUCUUAUUUGCUGAAAUAAAAUUUCUCAUAUUAUUUGUCCUUUGUCUUUCUCUGAUAUAAAUUUUAUACAAAUAUCAUUUAUUAGCCCUCACAAUUUCAUGUUUUACAUGCAAACUAUGGUGACUUUUAACCAAAUGAAUGAAUAUUUAGUAGUAGUAUUUUUUGGUAACCAUGCAUGAGUGUGAUAACAACAUAUCACAUUAAUAUUUCUUAAUAUGUGAUUUGUGCAAAGUGGACUAUUAAAAUGGGAAGGAGGGAGUAGAAGUUUAGACAUUUAACUAAUACUCCUAAUUUAACCAAUAAGAACUCACCAAGGAAUCGAUCUUUUUUACAUUUGUUCGAGUGAUCGUAAAUGUCGUGUGGCUUUUUAUUUUGAAGUAAUAUGUUUCUUUUUCCAAAAACAAAAACUAAUAAAAACUCUUUAAAUAUCUUGGGUUACGAAAUAUUUUCUCUCCAUAUGUAAACACAGUAUUGUGAGAGUAUCAAAUGGCACGGUACCAAAGUUUAGAUAAUCAAAUGGAGACUUUAAGUGUAGAGGACGAAGAAAAUGAAGAAGUUGUUUUUGGGGUAGAUGGUGAAGAGGAGGGAUACAUAUAAGAGUUGUGUGUGGUUGGUCGUUUUCUUACAGAAAAGAAUAUCAACACGAGGGCAAUGAAGAUUAAAAUGGCUGAUGUAUGGAAGCCUGCAAUGGGAAUAAACAUCAAGGGACUUGAGACAGGCAUAUUCUUGUUUCAGUUUGAUCAUAAAAAGGACAUGUUAUGGGUUUUAAAUGGAGGAUCUUGGGUUUUUGACAAGGCGAUGCUGUUGGUGGAUGUUAUUCCAUCGGGUGUAGAUCCAUUGAAGGUGGAACUUUGGUUCUUAAAAAUAUGGAUACAGAUAUAUGAUCUCCUUGCUGGUGGAAGGCUGGAAUGUAGGCAAACAACUUGGAAAUUUCUUUGGAGAAUUUCUUCGGUAUGAUGAAAAAAUUAACACAAGUAUUUGGGGUGAAUGUAUGUGUAUAAGGAUUAAGAUUGAUGUUCGGUAGCCUGUGAAAUCAGAAAAAAGGUCAGUGUUAUUACUACCUAGUUCACAACAAAGGGCUGUUUUUUCUGAAAUAGAUUCUUCUUCUCAACUUUACAAUCUUUAUUGGCUAAACUUGCGGAGCAAGCUAGCCAUUCAUCAUAAAGAUCUUAAGCUGGAACUGUCGAGGCUUGGGAAAAUCAUUUUGUGGUGGAGAAGGUAGGCCGGACUGGUGGUAAUUUAGCUGUGUUGUGGAAAGAUAUUAUCAAAUGUAAAGCGGUAAACUUGUUGUGUGAAAAUCAUUCCGUUGUUAUAUGAUCUCCUUGAAAAUACUAGAUAUUUUAUUGCAUUUUUAAGGAUCCAUGGUCAUUUGUCAGGAGAUCAUGCAACAACAGAAUGAUUUGGUCAACCGUCAUGCUAAAAAGUACGGGAAUAGGAUAGCACAUCUUUUGGCUAGAAUCCCCGAUUUAAUAGGUUGCUACAACCUGUUUAUAUCUCCUCCACAUUAUGUGUUGGAGGUUUUAUUGUCUAAUAUUUAAUUUUAAUGCAAUUGUUUACUUCAAAAAAAAAACUCUUUAAAUGAAUGUAUAUUCUCUGCUUCUUCCAUCAUCUUACCAUAUUUUGGAAUAUAUUCAAAACAAAUUCAAUUUCUAAUAAUUGGAAAAUGUAUUCAUUUAUAAAAAUGCGAAAUUUAAAAUUAUAAAUUAAUAAAAUGUUUUGAAGAGAUCGAGGAAUCUGAGGUAAAAAAAGUUAAAAAAAAAAAAAACUCAUUAUUUUUAAGAAUCCAGCCAUUUAAAAACAUGCAUGAGAAAAAUACACCAUCCAACCUUUAUACAUAUUACACAUAAUUCAAGAUCUUAAAUAAAACUUAAAAUAUAAAUAUCAUAUGAAUUGUUGUUAAAAUUAGAAUGACAAACAUACAAUCAAAGAAUUUAGUUAUGUUAUAAUAUAAUUCAAAAAUAUAAUUGAAUUUUUUUCUAAUAUUACUAAAUAGAUAAUCAAAUUAUAUUAUAAAUCUCAUCAAAAAUUAUAUAAUUAUAAAAAAGUGACUUUUAAAUUGGCAUCACAAUCAUAUUAGUUGUCAAGAGGUAACAUAGUUAAAAAUCCAUUAUUCUCGAUUAUCCACCUAAAAAGAAUCUGACAUUAUGGGUAAAAUAUUUUAUCAACAUGUAUAUAUUUUUUCCGCGUACAAUUAAACAUAUUACAAAUAUUAUUUCACCAAAAAUUUAGACUUCUAAAAUGGUGUAACUAUUCCAAACAACCCUUAAGACUAUCAGUGAGGCUCAGGACAUGACUAUAGGUAUGGCUUUAUGCAUGUAGAUUGAGAGCAUAGAGUAGGAUGCAUUGAGUUGUGGGUUUUGAUCUGUAGGAGUUAGAUGGAUCUUUUGGAGUUUGGAAGUUGUAUUGUUGGCUCAUUUGAUUUUGUAGAUGUAGAUUCAUACUUGGCGAUCUUGGGUGGGAUUUGUUUUGAUUUUGAUGAUUGUUGUAGUUGGAAUAUCUCAAUAGUUUAUUAAUUUAAUACUUAAUUCUACAGUUUUUUAUUAGUAGUUUUGCAGAUCAGAGUAUUCAGUUUAGUAGUGUGGGUCUGUACAUUUAAUUUAUGAAGGAAAGUGGAUGAAGCAGGUGCUUUUCAAGUAAAGAGUUAUGUCAAAGACCAUAACUUUCAAGUAAAGAGUUAUGUCAAAGACCAUAACUGCAUACUUGUGCACAAGCACAAUUCGGUGAGAUCAGAUUGGUUGGUAAUAAAGGUAGGUAAUAAGGCGAGGGUCAAUCCAAAAUGGAGACUGAGGGAAAUACAACAGCAUGUGUAUGAGGUGCAUGGCCUGGUGACAUCAAAGAACCAGUGCUGGUUAGCUAAGAAAAAAGCUCUAUCAGAGAUAGAAGGUGAGAUAGCUAAACAAUGCAAAAGGCUAUAUGAUUAUGGUGCUGAUAUUAUUAGUUCAAAUCCAGAUAGCACAGUUAAAAUUGGAGUAGACAAGGUUAAUGAUGUUUCUACAUUCAAGAGAAUAUACAUCUGCUUUGGUGCUUUGGAAAUUGGUUUUAAACAGGGUUAUAGGAAGAUCAUAGGUAGGGAUGGGUGCGGGGGUACUUCGGGGGCGGGGUGUGCUAUCCCCGACCCCGAUCCCCGAAUUUAAUACUCCUCCUCAACCCCGCCCCGAACCACGAACGGGGUUUUCUCCCCGAUCCCCGCCCCCAACGGGGAAGGGGGAUCCCCGCGGGGAUUCGGGGAAUUUUAUUUUUUGAUAAAAACAUAAUAACUUUAUAAUAUAUAUUAUACUUUUUAAUUAAAAAAACAAACUACUAACUCCUAAUAUACUAAUAAAAUAAUAUUAUCUUAUAUUUUCAACAUCAAAUCAUAUUAAAAUUGAUUUAUAAUAUAAAUAAACGUCAAUUUAAAAUUAUAAAAUAUAUUAUAUCACAAUAAAUUGAUAAUCAAUCAAUAAAACUUUAGUAUAUUAUUAAAUAUAUUUAGUAUAAUAUAUAUAUAAAUAUAUUAUUAUUUNNNNNNNAGCAUAAAUUUAAACCUAUUUAAUUAUUUAAGAAUGUAUAUAUAUAUAUAUAUAUAUAUAUAUAUAUAUAUAUAUAUAUAUAGGGGGCCGUUAUACAACCACAGUUGGAUAAUUAUUUAAAUAUAUCCAAGUACACUGACAAUCGUUGAUUUGUCAGUGUACGGACAAGAUUAAAAAGAACUACGUCAUAUAACAAAGCGUAUACGCUACAUUAUAUAGCGUAAGACCAGAGCAGAAUCCGAAACAGAGCAUUUUCUCUGGUCUUACGCUGUACAAUAUAGCGGAGCGGUUUUUUUUUUGCAGAACCGGCUUCGUUAGUUUGUAUAGCGUAUUGUGGAUAAACAAAAGAUCCAUACCAAAAAACAUAUCCACAGCAGCGAUUUGAAGCCGAUUGAAGUGAUUUCAACUGAUUUCAACCCAAAUCAAACGAUUUCUGGUGCGUAUGCUCUUGUAUAUGUGUGUGUAUAUCUGUGUGUGCGUAUAUACGUGUGUGUAUAUGGUUUUUUGUAUGUGAAUUUUGAUUUUUCUUUAUGAAUGUGUGUAUAGAUUCAUAGAUGUAUAUAUGUGCGUAGAAUUUGGUAAAGUUAUCAUAUUUAGUUCGAUUUUUAGUUAAUUUUUGAUUUGGGGAUUUGUGGAUCUCUUUAGUCAUAAUUCGAAUUUGUAAUUUGAUUUUGAGUUUGAUAGUUAGAUUGUUGGUAUAGUUUGAAAUUGUUUGGAUUUUAUUGAUUUUUUUUAGUUCGAAUUUUAGUUUAAUUUGGAGUUAUGGUUUUAUAGUUUAUAUUUUGGUAAAGUUAAAUUUUUCUUUGGAAUUGUUGAUUCUUUUUGGUUUGAUUUCGAAUUUGUACUUAGAUUGUUGGUAAAGUUUUAAUUUUUUAUGGAUUUUAUUGAUUUGUUUAGUUCGAAUUUUGUAGUUUAAUUAUGAAUUGGGGUUUGAUAGUGUAGAUUUUGGUAAAAUUUAGCUUUUUGUUUGAAUUUGUCUAUCUUUUUGUUUGAUAUUGAAUUAUAUUUAGAUUUUUGAGUUGGAUAGUUUAGAUUGUUGGCGAAGUUUGAAUUUUGAUAGUUGAUGUUGAAUGUGUUAAGAUUAUUGAUUUGUUGGUUGUUAAGAUUGUUGUUGGUGGGAAUUGAUGGUUUGAUUUUGACCUUGAUGUUGUUUGUUGGUUUUGAUAAUAUGAUUGUAGAAAUGGCGAAUGAUUUUUGUGGACCGGUUGAUGAUUCGGUACUUCGCCAUCAAGCGCAAUAUAGCGUAACCCGGUCUUACGCUGUAUUAUAUUGCGUAAACGCUUGCGUAAGCACAGUGUUUUUAUUGAUUUCUGUGCGUUGAUUGCUUUUUUUUGGACGGUGGGAGAUGAGUUGGAUGGAUAAUCUACUUAUCCAACCGUGGCUGUGGAACAUUUCCCAUAUAUAUAUAUAUAUAUAAUUGGGGUCGGGGAUCGAGGCGGGGAGACACAAAUCCCCGACCCCGCCCCGAUCCCCGAAUUUUUUAUAAAACUUUUUCCGAUCCUCGCCCCGACCCCGAAAAAUUCCCCGAAUCUCCGACACGAACGGGGCGGGGAUCGGAUCGGGAUCGAGCGAGGCGGGAUGAAUGCCCAUCCCUAAUCAUAGGCCUUGAUGGCUAUUUUUUAAAAUGUUUUGUCAAAGGAAAAAUACUAGCAGAAGUUAGUAUGGAUGGAGACAAUGGGAUGUUUCCAAUUGCUUGGGCAGUUGUGGAUGUUGAAUGCACUGAAUCAUGGGAAUGGUUCAUUAAACUAUUAAGGGAUGAUCUUGAAUUUGACAGUGGUGCAGGGUACACCUUAAUGACGGAUCAAUAGAAGGUCUGUCUCUUUUAAUUUGAUAUAGUUAUGUUUGUUUGAUAUGCUUGUUUCAUUAAACUACUAUGCUUAUACUUGUUUGAAAUGCUUGUUUUUUUAUAGAGUCUGAUGAAUGUCAUAGAUAACAACUAAAAUGGAAUGAAACAAGUUAUACUUAAUUAUAAAAUAUUUAUGGUUAGAUAUAUAUAUUAAGGACCGUUUGACUGAGUUUAUAAGUUCGGUUUCCAAAUUUAUAAAUCCGGAAAAUUUCAUCCGUACCAUUUUUUAUUCAAUAAACAUUUUUGAAAUUACCCAAAACUGAGCCUUAGAUAUGAUUAUUUUGGGAAAAAAAUGACAGCAGCAAGUAAAAAUCUGGUAAAGUAACAUAGAGCAGCGAGCACAGAGACCCCGUGAUUUACCUGCUCUCAAGUCCAGGCUGUAACAGAAUUUCAGUUUUUUGAUAUCUGAUUUCUGCGCAUUGAAUUUGUAGCCAUGUCUGCCAUUUUGUUCAAGAAAGGAGCUCAAACACUAACUCCAUUUCAUGCUCUCACUUCAUUCACGCUAAUGCCUCAAAGUGUAAGCCCUUGUUCUCUUUUACUCCAUUCUCAUUUUCUUCUUUUCUCUACGAAGCCUAACCCUAAUUCACAACCCAAAGCCCCCUUUAUUCCUUCUCCAUCUACCACUCAUCCCGAACUUAAACAAUUGCUCUAUCAUAAAUCUAAGCUUGGUUUCGAUAAACUGGACGAUGCGCUCCUCGUGUUCGACAAAAUGAUCCUUCUGAAAUCUAGGCUUUCUGUUGUGGAUUUCAACCAACUCUUAACUGCCAUUGUUCGAAUGAAAGACUACUCUGUUGCCAUUUCCAUGUUUAGAGAAAUGCGUAUGUUAAGCAUUCCUGUUGAUAUUGUUACCUUUAAUACUGCCAUUCAUUCCACUUGUCACUUGAGUACUCUUGAUUAUGCCUUUUCCUUGCUUGCUGGAAUCAUCAAGAGUGGUCAUGUCCCUAGUGUUGUUACCUACAACACUCUCAUCAAGGGCCUUCUGUCUCAAGACAGGCCUUUAGAGGCUGAGCAUCUGUUUAGGAAGCUUAUCAGAUUUCGAGAAAUUCAGCCCGAUGUAGUUAUGUAUAGCACCAUCAUUGAUGGUCUCUGCAAAACUUCAAAUACCUCCAUGGCUCUCAAGUUGUUAAGAAAGAUGGAGAAGUUAGGUUGUAAACCCGAUGCGAUAACUUAUACCUCGAUUAUUGAUUCUCUGUGCAAAGAAAGACGAGUUGAUCAUGCAUUGGAUCUUGUGUCUGUAAUGAGCGUUAAAGGCAUUCCACCAAAUGUUAUAACCUAUAACACAUUACUUCAAGGUCUUUGCAGCUCCAGCCGAUGGGAGGACGUUGAGCCUUUGUUAAGUGAGAUGGGUGCUCAGAAGAUCCCUCCUGAUUUGCAUACCUAUAAUAUAUUGGUCGAUGCACACUGCAAAGAAGGGAGGACAAUAGAUGCUCAAGAUGUUAUUGAAAUUAUGAUCAAGAAAAGUGUACCUCCUGAUGUAAUCACCUACAACACACUAAUGGAUGGGUUUUGUUUAACAGGCAAAAUGGACAGGGCAUUAGAGGUUCUGAAUACC
rnacentral:lncRNA from 1 species